GUGCUCACUUUGGCAGCACAUAUACUCAGAUUGAAACAAUACAGAGAAGGUUAGCCUGGCCCCUGUGCAAGGAUGACACACAAAUUUGUGAACACUUAACAUACUUUU
ensembl:snRNA U6 U6 spliceosomal RNA